rnacentral:rRNA from 1 species
AUGCACGCUGGCGGCGUGCCUAAUACCUGCAAGUCGAACGCUGGAAAUCUAGCUUGCUAGAUUGAAGGAGUGGCGAACGGGUGAGUAAUACAUAAGCAACCUACCCACGAAGACUGGGAUAAUCUCUGGAAACGGGGACUAAUACCGGAUAGGUAAUCGGAAGGCAUCUUCUGAUUAUUAAAGGUUAAAAACACUGGUGGAUGGGCUUAUGGCGCAUUAGUUAGUUGGUGAGGUAACGGCCCACCAAGACGAUGAUGCGUAGCCGGCCUGAGAGGGUGAACGGCCACAUUGGGACUGAGACACGGCCCAGACUCCUACGGGAGGCAGCAGUAGGGAAGUUUCGGCAAUGGGGGAAACCCUGACCGAGCAACGCCGCGUGAGUGAUGACGGCCUUCGGGUUGUAAAGCUCUGUUGUAAGGGAAGAACGGUAGAUAGAGAAUAUCUAAAUGACGGUACCUUACCAGAAAGCCACGGCUAACUACGUG